rnacentral:rRNA from 1 species
CCUACGGGCGGCAGCAGUGGGGAAUAUUGCGCAAUGGGCGAAAGCCUGACGCAGCGACGCCGCGUGAGGGAUGAAGGUCUUCGGAUCGUAAACCUCUGUCAGCAGGGAAGAACGGUCACUGUGCUAAUCAGCAGUGAAUUGACGGUACCUGCAAAGGAAGCACCGGCUAACUCCGUGCCAGCAGCCGCGGUAAUACGGAGGGGGCGAGCGUUAAUCGGAAUUACUGGGCGUAAGGCGCUCGUAGGCGGUAUGUCAAGUCAAGGGUGAAAGCCCCGCGCUCAACGUGGGAACUGCCUUUGAAACGGGCAAACUGGAGUGUGUGAGAGGAGAGUGGAAUUCCAGGUGUAGGAGUGAAAUCCGUAGAUAUCUGGAGGAACAUCAGUGGCGAAGGCGACUAUCUGGCACAUAACUGACGCUGAGGAGCGAAAGCGUGGGUAGCAAACAGGAUUAGAUACCCGGGUAGUC